GUCCACGCCGUAAACGAUGGAUACUAGCUGUUGGGCGCAAGUUCAGUGGCUAAGCGAAAGUGAUAAGUAUCCCACCUGGGGAGUACGCACGCAAGUGUGAAACUCAAAGGAAUUGACGGGGGCCCGCACAAGCGGUGGAGCAUGUGGUUUAAUUCGAUGAUACGCGAGGAACCUUACCAAGGCUUAAAUGUAGAUUGACCGGUUUGGAAACAGACUUUUUGCAAGACAAUUUACAAGGUGCUGCAUGGUUGUCGU
rnacentral:rRNA from 1 species